GAUAAUGAUGAGAGAAACUUGGAAUCUCGUUCGUCUGAACUUGUGUUGAGAAAUGGAAUAUCUGAUAUCU